AUGGGCGCAAGCCUGAUGCAGCCAUGCCGCGUGUGUGAAGAAGGCCUUCGGGUUGUAAAGCACUUUCAGCGGGGAGGAAGGGGAUGGGAUUAAUAAUUUCAUUCAUUGACGUUACCCGCAGAAGAAGCACCGGCUAACUCCGUGCCAGCAGCCGCGGUAAUACGGAGGGUGCGAGCGUUAAUCGGAAUUACUGGGCGUAAAGCGUACGCAGGCGGUCUGUUAAGUCAGAUGUGAAAUCCCCGGGCUUAACCCGGGAACUGCAUUUGAAACUGGCAGGCUAGAGUCUCGUAGAGGGGGGUAGAAUUCCAGGUGUAGCGGUGAAAUGCGUAGAGAUCUGGAGGAAUACCGGUGGCGAAGGCGGCCCCCUGGACGAAGACUGACGCUCAGGUACGAAAGCGUGGGGAGCAAACAGGAUUAGAUACCCUGGUAGUCCACGCUGUAAACGAUGUCGAUUUGAAGGUUGUGGCCUUGAGCCGUGGCUUUCGGAGCUAACGCGUUAAAUCGACCGCCUGG
rnacentral:rRNA from 1 species